CAUGUAAUAAAAAUCUACAUCCCAACGAGUCUUAAAGGGCUUCUCCAGCAAGUGUGUCUCUCUUGGAUGCAACUCCUUGGACACAGGAACUUACUAAGGCUGAUAAGGCCCUGAGCGUAUCAGUGGGCCCUUGGGAGCCUAAAAGCUACUGGAGGUGGCUGAGCUCGUUCUCCAACAAUAUGUCAUCGCUCCAGAUGUCUUAGGCCUCCUCUUCUGAAACUACUGUCAAAAUCUCUGGCACGUUUUUUGAAUGUCCUCAAUGAAGAAAAAUCUUAAUCUUUUGAGGAGGAAUUGGAUCUUUUGAAACUUCCAGUGGUUUUCAGAAUCUAACUGAGUGGACAAUGAGGUGAGUGGGAAAAUGGGCAAGAUUUAAAAAAAUAAAUUACCACGGUACUAUUACAAAACCACGAGGCUGAUUUUCUUGUGUGACUAGUAAAUAGCACAGAAUAUGAGAACAAUUCUCCCAGAAUAAACAGUUAGAUUUUAAGCUGCAGUAGAUCAUUAGGAUAUGCAGAUUAAUGAACCUGAUGGCCAGGUUGAGACACUUAUACUCCGAAGUGUAUGUGUGCAUAUGUAAUCUAGGCUCAUUACUUACGAGUGAUGCCACUUAAAUGAAAACAUUUGCAUAUUUUUAAAGAAAACUCAGCUUGAGAUAAAGAAAUAAAACAAAAUCUAUGUAUUGACAUUCAUGGGCUUAAUUAAUUAUAACAGCCCAGGGAGGACUCUGCCUCUUUUAAAACAAUGUCAUUUUAUUCAUUUAAAAUAAGUAAUACAUACUUUUUAUACAGAAAUCAGAAAGCCCAGAAAUUUCUUUACUCAGAGCUAUUCCCUCAUAAUAUAUAUGUUUUUAAUAGACUUAAUUUUUUAGAGCGGUUUUAGGUUCACAGCAAAAUUGAGCAGGUCAGAGAGUUCCCAUAUACCCACUUUCCCAACACGUGCAGAUCCUCCCCCAUUAUCAACAUUUCCUGCCAGAGAAGACAUUUGUUACAACUGAUGAACCUGCAUCAAGACAACAUUAUCAUCCAAAGUCCAUAGUUUACAGUGGGGUUCAUUCUUGUAUAUACCAUGGGUUUGGACAAAUGUAUAAUGACAUGUAUCCACUAAAGUAUGAUAUAGAAUAGUUUCAUUGCCCCCCUAAUCUACCAUGUUCCAUCUCUUCAUUAUAUUUUGAUCUAAAUAUAUCUUAGAUUGGGUUCCCUGGAAACAGACUCUGAGAACUGCCUGCUGAAUGCUUACUGGGAGCAUGCUUUCAGGAGAUGCUCCUUGUAAGAAAGUAAGGAAGGACUGUGCUGUGCAGAAAAGAAUCUGGCUCCAGAUGCAGUUGCAACUGAGACUCAUCCAAUCAUGGAGGGAGCUGUGGAGCUGGGAUGGCCCUUUAGAAUUGACCCAAAGUAAGGGCCAUGGACGAUUCCCAAUAGGGGAUGCAGCUGUGUGCUAUCAGCAGUGAUAUUCCCAGCAGCUGGAGAGAGACGUGUAUACUUCACAAAGGGAAGCUGGGCAAAGACUGCAUUCAGUAUCCACUGUAAUGUCAUGUCAAAAUUGUGAUCACACAGUCCAUGCAAUUUCUCAACCUACUUUUUCACUUAACAUUAUUUGAUGAAUUUUUCCCAUUUUGUUAACUUCUCUUUGAAAUCAACAUUUUAAAUAUCUGCUUAUUUUAUCAUAUGAAAGUAUCAUUUAUUUAACUGUUCUCUUAUUAUUGAAUAAUUUUUGACACAUUUUCACUAUAAUAAUAUAAUGAACAUCUUUAUAUCUUUGUAAUAUACAUGAUACUAAUAAAAAUAAACUGUA